rnacentral:lncRNA from 1 species
UCUCUUUGUUUCUACUCAUAAUCUUCUUUUACAGCACUCUAUUUCAGCUUAACUUCCUUUCAAGCUUCAACUCUUGAAUUUCAUUUGCACUUGGACUACCAGGGAAGCAACUAAUAUCGUUGCGGGUAACAGAGCCGUAUUUGCUAUUUCUUGAUUACAAUCCAAUAUGGCUGAUGAAUAUGAGGACAGUACUACUGUCAGCUUGAAGGCCUUGCUGCACAAGGGAAGCAACAAAGUUAUUUUCGUAGUGUGGGUGCAGGAAAAAUUUGUAUGCAAGUAUUGAGAAUAUUGAUGUUCAACAGUUUCACAAUGAGGUGU